CGCCCUUAUUGAGAAUUAUGGAAAUUUUUGUCGCGUGCGACCGGCUUCUGAUGUAGCGUUUGAGGAGAGGAGCAGAUGAAGGCAGGUCCUUCCGGCGCCGCCCGGAUUUGGAUUCCUUCUUUGCUGCUUACUCCUACUGCUCCGAAAAUUGGCUAGAGGUCGACGAAAUGGGUGGAGACCGGCGGUCCCCUUCAGAAAACGACAGACAUGCAAACGACACAUAUGAAUGUAUAUAGGGAACAAGAGUUUCCAUACUCAUAGUGCUCAUUAGAAUAGCACGGAUCGUGUUUCGCCUCUCGCCUUGUUAACCGAAUCU
ensembl:ncRNA ZC506.8 ncRNA